rnacentral:lncRNA from 1 species
UUUAAACAGUGGACAGUGGCUGUAGCCUGCACCAUAAUCUUACUAAAUUAAAAAAGUGUCAGAGUUUUUUUUUUUUUUUUUUUCUAAAAUCCUGUUUAAUGAUCUACUGUUUAAGAUUUUAACAUGUUUUAGGUGAUCAGAGACAAACGUCUGUUAAAUAAACAACACAAUUUUCUUUUCUUUUUUACUUUUCUUUCACUUUUAGAGGUGCUGGGACACUCUUCACAUUGAUCUGCUGCACAAAGCGGGUGAACUGCAGCGUGUCAAGAUGGCAAGCCAAGCCUGUAAUGGACAACCCAGCACUGUGAGUGCAGUACCCUGCUGCUGAGGGUUCUGGAUCCGAUACUGCAGCAUAUUGCUAAGAUGGAUUUGGACCCAGUCAGAACCCUCAUCUCCAGCAGGACCUUUGUUUUGCAGCCUCAGCAUUAAAGUGGAUCUUUAUAGUCAGGAGGGCGCCUCUAGGAACCAUUGGGGACAUCAUUUAAAGACUGCAGCAGUGAGGAGAGUUCUCAGAAGGUAAUGUAACAGUUUACUGUCUGCAAUAUGGCUUGCCUGCUCUUUAUAGACGCGCCCCCUUCUGAUU